rnacentral:rRNA from 1 species
UGGGGAAUAUUGCACAAUGGGCGCAAGCCUGAUGCAGCAACGCCGCGUGAGUGAAGAAGGCCUUCGGGUCGUAAAGCUCUGUCCUGUGGGACGAAACAAAUGACGGUACCACAGGAGGAAGCCCCGGCUAACUACGUGCCAGCAGCCGCGGUAAUACGUAGGGGGCAAGCGUUAUCCGGAAUCACUGGGCGUAAAGGGUGCGUAGGUGGUUCCUCAAGUCAGAAGUGAAAGGCAGUGGCUUAACCACUGUAAGCUUUUGAAACUGAGGAACUUGAGUGCAGGAGAGGUAAGUGGAAUUCCUAGUGUAGCGGUGAAAUGCGUAGAUAUUAGGAGGAACACCAGUGGCGAAGGCGACUUACUGGACUGUAACUGACACUGAGGCACGAAAGCGUGGGGAGCGAACAGG